GACACGACUCUCGGCAAUGGAUAUCUCGGCUCUCGCAUCGAUGAAGAGCGCAGCGAAAUGCGAUACUUGGUG
rnacentral:rRNA from 4 species